GGUUGAUGGCUCGGAGAGAUACUAAGGCGCUUGAGAGACUCGGGUGAAGGAACUAGGCAAAAUCGUACCGUAACUUCGGGAGAAGGUACGCUCCUAUCUGUGAUGAGACUUGCUCUCUAAGCGGACGGGAGCCGCAGUGACCAGGUGGCUGGGACUGUUUAUUAAAAACACAGCACUGUGCAAAAUCGCAAGAUGACGUAUACGGUGUGACACCUGCCCGGUGCCGGAAGGUUAAUUGAUGGGGUUAUCCUUAGGGAGAAGCUCUUGAUCGAAGCCCCGGUAAACGGCGGCCGUAACUAUAACGGUCCUAAGGUAGCGAAAUUCCUUGUCGGGUAAGUUCCGACCUGCACGAAUGGUGUAACCAUGGCCACGCUGUCUCCACCCGAGACUCAGUGAAAUUGAAAUCGCAGUGAAGAUGCUGUGUACCCGCGGCUAGACGGAAAGACCCCGUGAACCUUUACUACAGCUUGGCACUGAACAUUGAACCUACAUGUGUAGGAUAGGUGGGAGACUUUGAAGAUGAGACGCUAGUUUUGUUGGAGUCAACCUUGAAAUACCACCCUUGUAGUUUUGAUGUUCUAACGUUGGCCCCUGAAUCGGGGUUACGGACAGUGCCUGGUGGGUAGUUUGACUGGGGCGGUCUCCUCCUAAAGAGUAACGGAGGAGCACGAAGGUUGGCUAAGUACGGUCGGACAUCGUACGGUUAGUGUAAUGGUAGAAGCCAGCUUAACUGCGAGACAGACACGUCGAGCAGGUACGAAAGUAGGUCAUAGUGAUCCGGUGGUUCUGAAUGGAAGGGCCAUCGCUNCACGGAUAAAAGGUACUCCGGGGAUAACAGGCUGAUACCGCCCAAGAGUUCAUAUCGACGGCGGUGUUUGGCACCUCGAUGUCGGCUCAUCACAUCCNUGGGGCUGAAGUCGGUCCCAGGGGUAUGGCUGUUCGCCCAUUUAAGUGGUACGCCAGCUGGGUUUAAAACGUCCUGAGACAGUUCCGUCCCU
rnacentral:rRNA from 1 species